CAUCCUGUCUGUAGUGGGGGGCCCAAAACUGGACACAGGCCUCCAGAUGUGGCCUCACCAGUGCUAAAUAGAGAGGGGCAAAGUGAACUUUACAACCUGGCACCUGACUUAUAUGACUCCAUAACCCUAUGUUAGCUGCCAUCUCUCUACCAGAAAGAAAGUGCAGAGGGUUUGGGGAUCCCAGCAAAGAACAAAGGAAAUGAAGGGAACCAGACCAUCAUCUACAAUGACAGCCCCUCUGUUUAAUCUGCAUCAUCGCAACAUAGGUUUUGUUUUGCUCUUGUGUGCAUCGAGUAAAAUAUAAAACACAAAAACUGCUUGAUACUUGAGCUCUCACACCCUUUGCUGCCUCAAGUAGGGCUCCUCAUUAAUGCUAUGCCCCUCACUUCUCUUUUUUUUUAUAGUGGCUACACAAGUGAAGAUAGUUCAAAGCCAUACCCCAGGCUGCAUCCUGCUAAAGGAAGUUGCAGCCUAACCAGCUCAUGAUUUAAUGUCUAGGGAGCUGAUUAGAACAGAAUCAAAAUGCCACAGUGGCUUCUUUCUUAGGGCAGCCUGUUGGGUUUAAGUGAUGUUUUUAAUAUACUAUUUUACUGCUUUAUUCAGUGGAGGGAGGGGGAGUUGAUCCUAUGCUUUGCCUACUUCCUUAAUAAAGAGAGAAGGUGCUUCUUUUGCAGUCCUAAAAAUCUUGACUACAAGUAAACAGACAUCUUACAUGUUUUUUAGGUAACUGAAAAGUGAAUAAGUACUUAAUGAUAUUUUUAAGGGCUGUUUUUCCUGUCUGACUGGAUACUGCCAUUCCAUAAAUUGCUAGACACCUCAGGACUCAGCUUUGAGCUGGCCUUCUGCUACUGCUGUUUGCACAUCACCAGCUCCUCAUCUCUUCUCUUGAUGACCGUCUCCGACUUCCACUGUGUUUUGUGUUGUUAAAUUUCCCAUUCACUAAUGUUUCAGCACUGAAGUCUAGAAAACCUGGUUGCACUUGGUCUGAUUUCUCCUAGGAAGGCUAUUGCUGUUCAUUAGGGCUGGACAAAUGUUUGUCCAAACUUUCUAUUUUCAUUGAACAGCGAGGGGAAAAAUGUUGAUAAUGUUUUUUAAUCAAACAAGGAGAAAAAUGACAAAAUAGCUGUUUUUUUCUUUCUCUUGGUCUCUGACAUGUGUUGUGUCCAGCCUUUGCCAUUUCACACAUUUAAAGACCAGAUCUAAAAGCCAGCCCUCAUCCUGUUCUACUGUUAUAGUCCCCCACCACUGUCCCCCACCCAUUUCCUGCUUCUAGGCACAUGAGGUUUUGCUCUGUUCAGGGAUUUUCAGAAAAGCAGCGGGUCAUGGGUAGGUGUCUGAAAUAACCCACAGCUUUCUGGAUCCCAAGAGAACCCAACAAGCCAAGGUAAUGCACCUCAUUUACUGUAUAUGUGCAAUGCCCUUUUUGAAAUGUUUCCUUCGGUCUUGUGCCAGCAUUGACAUCCUUAUUAUUAUUCCUAUCAGGGCAGUGACCAGAGCCUCCAGGAAAAAAAGUCCAGGUGAGGACAUGUGAAAAAAAUAGUACGGGCUUGGGUACAUGAACAAAUUAUCAUGAAGCCAAAGACAAUGGGGCUUUACCAAGCAUCAGCUGCUCUGUGCUAAUGACCUGAAUGCUUGUUUUUACCUUGUGGUAAGUGCAGCUUAAAAAGGACUAAGUUACAAUGGGUAUGGUACUAUGGUGUAAGAGUAGUUACCGUGGGUGUGGUACUAUGGAGUAAGAAUGAACACAUGGCCAAUUUGCACACCACAAAUGACAUGUAGUAAAGCCCCACCCUCCUUGGCUUCACUAGUUUGUUCCACAGCUGCUGCCUUAAGAGAUCAUGCCUGAAUCAAAAUGAGUACAAUCUAACAAGAUAAUGAAAAUAUUGUUAUCAGUCCCACUUUACAGAUGAGUGGCUAAAGCAUGGAAAGAUCCAUAGACUUUCCAAGGUCCCACAGGAUGUCUUCUGAGUCUGGGAGUUGAUUUCUUGAGUGCUAGUCCACCAUUAGGUUAGUCAUCCUACGAUCCUCUCCAUGAUAGGUAGGGUGUGCUUUCAUAAGCAAGAAGAAUAUAGGUAUUGCCUAGCCUUGUUGAGUGACUCAGUCUCAAGCUACAGUGUUUGGCCUCUGCUAAGUUCAGCACUUCAAGUCAGCUCUCACACUGUGCUUGCUUUCUUCUCCUCCUUUUUGUUUUCUGAGCCACCUGCACGCAGAGAGAUACUAUUCCCAGGGCAUUUUGUCUAAAGCAGUGCCAUGGGGAGCAAAAGAAAACCUUUCUCCCUGAAUGUCUCAGAAGAAAUGGUGGCUUUACAUACCCAGUGGUCUUGCCCAACAAUCUAAACUGGUUAUGAAAACCAUAAGAUCUUCCAUGAAACUUUGCUCAUUUUGAGAAACAAACCCAAACCGAACUCGUUAAAAAAAAUGGAUUUCAAAACUCCUAGUCGUUGUUUUCUUUGUUUUUCAUCAUCGUCCUUUUAUCAUGCAUCUCAGGUGUUGCACUUUUGGGCCCCAACCAGCACUGAAGGGUGUCAAGAUACCGCUGGAAAAAUUGCCCUCAUAAAAAUUCUUGCCAUGCCCUUGAGCACUGGAAGGAGAUCCUCACCUUCACUAGGAGAUACACAGAUUGGUGUCUGCAAACAGUAAACGUGGAGCACUUCAGAGAAAUGUCUGAACAUCUAGCUAACCCUUGACCUCUGAGCUGUGCCGGUAUGCCUGUCCAACAUGGGGAGAAGCCCGGUCUGGCCAUAUAUAAGUGUUCUAGGGUGAACACAAGACCCUACCUUAUCUGAAUGGUCAUUCAGCAGAAGCCCAGCAGUCGCUUUCUUGAAGAGCAUCUAACCUAGGCCUACCACUAGAUUUUUGUAGUCCCUUCAAAUGCAAGCUGAGUGCAGCAGUAAAUAGUAUGGCUCAUGCUGUAAAGAGGUGAGAAAUGUAUAUCAAACCCAGUGGAUCCCAUGAGCCCCUCAAAACUAUCCUGCCAUGGGAUAGUCAGCAAGCUGGGCCUUUGCUCAGCCUCUCCUUCUUGGCUCUGCCACUGUAGUGAAGUAUACUUUUAAAAGGGCCUAUGAGUGGGCCUAUGAGCAGUGGAGCUAUAGCAUGGAAAAAAAUGUGCCCUGGGCAGCUCUCUUUCACCCUUCACCACUUGUCUCUGCCUACCUUCUUGCUCCCAGGCUCAGGAAGAGCAGCAAGCAGGGCGCCAUGCAGUACAAGGCACUCUGGGAUACGCAGUCCUUCAGACUGGCAGUGGAAUUUGCUGCUGUGUGGAAAUUGCAACCCACUUUUUUGCUGUUGAAGCCCAUGUCCAGAGGUAAAAAAAAAGUGCUGAAUUGAGUACAAAAAUGUAGUGGUCAGUUCCCCAUGCCCCGCCUCCCGGCAACCACCCACUAUACCCCGGCAGCAGCAAAUUUCACUGCUGCUCUGCAAAGCUACUAUUCUCAAAAAUGCUUUGUGUUCUGUGACACACAGGUCAUGUCUACACAUGCUUUUCUGUGCGCCUAAAUUUAACGAGCAUUUGCUUAAUGCGCAUUAAGGUGAUUUAGGCCCAUGCCUACACGUGCACGUGCUGAGGUGCAUUAACGUGGUGUGCGGACUGAUUUGGGACUCAAGUCAGUCCCAAGUCAAUCGACACACAGUGUUAAUGUGGCUUAGCGCAUCUAUAUAUGCAUUAAGGCGCUUUAGCGAUUCACGCCUAAAUUUGAUACUUGCUUUUGCAGGUAUCAAAUUUGUGUGUGAAUAGCCUACAAUCUCCAUUUUUAAAUCGCAUUAAAGGUGCACGCAUGUAGACGUGCACUCUCAAUGCACCUUAAAUUGGGCUAAAGCACCUUAAAUUGGCAUGUGGAGACGUACCCACACUGCCUUUGCCAGCAAGGAGUGUCCUAGAGGUAGGUAACUCCCCCUCAGCCCCUGUCCCAGCACCCUUCCCUUAAGCAGUGACUGGGGCACAUACCUCACUCGCCCAACCCAUGUUACAUUACUGAAGCUACUGACAAAUGGUACACACCAGGGUAUGCUGUCAAGUGGAACUGGAGAUGGUGUCUGGCCAGUGACCUGUGUGUGUCAGCUAUGCCAAGAGUUGUGUUUGGAACAGCCUGUCUUGAAUCAGAGCUCUCAGUUAUGUCUCUGGGCCCACAACCAAACCUUUAGUGAAUACAGGCAGGAUUGUACCCUCUAGUUUUACCCACUUCAGGCACACAGAAUCGGCUGUGGAUUGUGCCUACUAUAACAGUAAGUGGUAAACUGAGUGGUGCAUGCAGUGACACCUAAUGAUGCGCUCAUGUGCAGCUCCACAUGUCUUUGUUCUAGAGCUAAGUUCAGUUCAAUGCAUCUUGCACUUUCUGUAUGACAAUCCUGUAGCAGAACCUGACCAAUGUGCCAUGGGUUGAACCUUGCGCAUUUUUCAUUUGGAUGUUCUGAUUUUGCCAUUUUCUUCCUUUUGCCUUUUGUGUGUGUGUGGGGGGGGUCAUCCUUGUGAAGAAUGAAUGUGUGAUAUGAACUUUACUGUGUCUAUCAGUAAUUUAAGUAAUCCGGGCCGCUGUGGACGCCUGUUUCAAUGAACCUGACCACAGGACAGGAGUCUCCCAAUGUCAUUAUGUACCUGUAUAAUCUGUAAAAACAAGCCUUUGUGUCUUCAUUUGCUCUCCUGACUUCUUGUCUUUACAGUGGCAAUACAACAUGCUGCAACUCUGAAAAGAGCUGUGCCAUGCUGAUGUGUGUAAAGCUAUAUUUUGGCUUUUGACGGGGUCACCAUAUGAAUUUAUCAGCCCUUUGAGUCUAAUAUUAACACUUUUUUGUCACAAUUGGUAAUGGGAUCUGGGUCAUUGAAUUUUGUUAUGAAGUGAAAACACACAGCUGUCAGCUGCUGCUUACUAGACUAAUCUUGAUUUUGUGUUCUGAAAAACAGUACUGGAUUUUAAUAUGUAUACUGCUGGAAAUGACACAAUAAAUGUAUUCUCAUUUU